UGAGGAAUAUUGGUCAAUGGGCGAGAGCCUGAACCAGCCAAGUAGCGUGCAGGACGACGGCCCUAUGGGUUGUAAACUGCUUUUAUGUGGGGAUAAAGUGCGUGACGUGUCAUGCAUUGCAGGUACCACAUGAAUAAGGACCGGCUAAUUCCGUGCCAGCAGCCGCGGUAAUACGGAAGGUCCGGGCGUUAUCCGGAUUUAUUGGGUUUAAAGGGAGCGUAGGCCGGUUGGUAAGCGUGUUGUGAAAUGUAGGAGCUCAACUUCUAGAUUGCAGCGCGAACUGUCAGACUUGAGUGCGCACAACGUAGGCGGAAUUCAUGGUGUAGCGGUGAAAUGCUUAGAUAUCAUGAAGAACUCCGAUUGCGAAGGCAGCUUACGGGAGCGCAACUGACGCUGAAGCUCGAAGGUGCGGGUAUCGAACAGG
rnacentral:rRNA from 1 species